UCUCCCAAAUUCAAAAUUGAAAUUUACUUACAAGUACAACCUAUUAUAACUUUCCAGUGAGCUAUUAGUUCUGAAACUUGUGAGUCCCAUUGUACCUUCAGUCCUGGCUUGUUUGCGAGCUAUUAUUGUUCUUUUGUUCCUCUCAGCCCAACAAAUUGCAGACAUCACGGGAGGCCAAAUUUUCCUUCCUAUGUUUCUCCCUUUUCUGUUAUUGAAGCUUCUAGUUGUGAAGUAAUAGAACCUGUUGAACCCAUCUGAUCUUGAAACCACUGAUGCUUUUAUACACAACUACAAUGUAGUAGAAGAUGAUUCAGGAUACAGACUAUUCCAAUUUUUUCAUCUGGCACGCGCUCCUUAGCAGAUUGUUGUUGGUGUAGCAUUUUACGAAUUGACGGCGAGGCUAUGAGAUUAUCACUUUGACGACCUCCUCAAGUGCACUCUACUAUACCGGAAACAGGCAUAAAUCACUUCCAAGGUCCAAGCUCGACAGGGCAAAGAUAAACAUGAAAAUGGCUUGACUACUUCAAUAAUAGUAAGGCCCAAUUCCCGCCCGUCAGCUCGGACCAUUCUACUCGCAUCACAAAGAUUUUCGAUGAAAAGUUCUACAGGUCCUAGACCUCACAUGUUUUCCAUCUCUUGAACUGAGGCAAGGUUUUUUGCCCCUUGAAUGUGGCGAUUAUUGGAACCCCAUGUUUAGACUAACCCAAAAGCAAGAGGUUGAAUAUAUUAGUGAAGUUUCAAUUCAGUCGAGGUUUCGUAAAGCUGUAACAGAGCUACAGAUUGCAGGGUUGCUUUGGAUGCCAAGUAAGAGAAGACCGAUUUUGUGCAAAGAGUUGCCUUUGGAUUUUUGGCUGCCAGACAUCAGAGAAAUAGAGAAUUUUCCGAAACGCAGAUUGCAUAAAAGAUAAUGUUGAGUUCUAGUUUUAGUUGGCCAAACUGUAAGUUAGUGAUCCAAAAUAAAAUCAACACACAAGUAUUCAAGGUUCAUAAAAUUUGCUACACAAAUCAAGCCGCAGUAAAAAUGGGAUACGGUUCAAAAUGGUAACAAGCAUGACCAAAUUUCAAGCAUACCCCAAACUGAAUUGAGUAAGAAUCUAUAUAAAUAUACCCACAAAUCAUCACCAUUAAGCACAAACUCAACAUUCCAUUACGAAUUCAAUUUAGUUGCUUUUUUUCAUUAGUUAACAUACUCAUCAUGAUUUUUAAGUUCAUUACCUGUGUUCUAAUGACUCUCUUGCUGGUUUUUAAACCAGCCAUGAGUGUUGCACCUUCAUGUGAUGCUGUCAUCACUAGCUUCGCUCCUUGUUUAUCAUACUUGAUUCAGUCCCUUCAACAAGUUGCUGCGACAAUGUCAGAGCACUCGACCAACAGCUGCCAGAGAAGCAAGAUAGAAAAAGCAUGUGCCAGUGUAUUAAGCUUGCUGUUCCUAUUAUCGGUACCGUCAACAAUACUCGCGUCCAAGAUGUCACUAACAACUGUGGAUCGACACUUUAUAAAUUCCCACUCAUUUCUCCUGACAUGAACUGCGACAGUGUUCAAUAAGAAGAUGAAGAUUUUGGAAGAAAUCUUUCAAGGGACAUGUGAUAUAAAAUGUAUGAAAUCUAAGUAAAUAAAAAUGAAUAAGGAUGACAUUCAAGUUUCUUGCACUAUGUAAUUCGGAGGUUAUUAAUGUUAACCCUGAUAUUAAUGCAUGAUAUGUUCUUCGUUUUUCUUCC